GAUGAACGCUGGCGGCGUGCCUAAUACAUGCAAGUCGAGCGAACGGACGAGAAGCUUGCUUGUCUGAUGUUAGCGGCGGACGGGUGAGUAACACGUGGAUCACCUACCUAUAAGACUGGGAUAACUUCGGGAAACCGUAGCUUAUACCGGAUAAUAUUUUGAACCGCGUGGUUCAAAAGUGAGAGACGGUCUUGCUGUCACUUAUAGAUGGAUCCGCGCUGCAUUAGCUAGUUGGUAAGGUAACGGCUUACCAAGGCAACGAUGCAUAGCCGACCUGAGAGGGUGAUCGGCCACACUGGAAGUGAGACACGGUCCAGAGUCCUACGGGAGGCAGCAGUAGGGAAUCUUCCGCAAUGGGCGAAAGCCUGACGCAGCAACGCCGCGUGAGUGAUGAAGGUCUUCGGAUCGUAAAACUCUGUUAUUAGGGAAGAACAUAUGUGUAAGUAACUGUGCACAUCUUGACGGUACCUAAUCAGAAAGCAACGGCUAACUACGUG
rnacentral:rRNA from 1 species